rnacentral:lncRNA from 1 species
UGGCUUGCUGAUAUUGAUGCUGCUAUUCAUCAUCUGGUUAUUAAAAAUUUGUUUAUGUUAGACAAAACCCAUGAAUUUUGAAGGUUUUUUUUCGAUGCAUUAUAUAUUUAUAUUAUUUAAAAACAAGACUGAAGAACACAAUAGAACUCAAGGCAAUAAGGCAAGAAGAAAAUUCACUUCAUGAGUUACAAAAGAUCAAAUCAAGCCUACGACUUAAAGAAACUAUCGGGAAUGGGAACACAACCACAUAAGCCACUUCCCAGUCUACCAAUCCUUACAACAAGAAUUAAAAUUGUAAAUUGAAAAGGCUCUUCCCACACCCACGGCAGCUCAUCCAGGGAAGAAAGAAAAGUCAACACUUGCUUCUUUUUCUG